AAUACUAUCGUGCCAGUUGGUACUCUCAAAUGACAGUGUAUGUAUGUCAAAUGAGGUGUUGAAAAGGGAAUCUGGUGAAAAUCCAGAACUGACGCGCAGCGGUAAAUAGAAGACAAGAUCUUAAGUGACACUGCAUCGGAUGUGGGAAGUCGAGAUUUUGGCGGUUAUCUCAGGGGUAAUCAUAUUCUUAAGUCCGAAGACCUGCCAGCAACCGGGAGAUAAC
rnacentral:ncRNA from 2 species